UAAUUGAAUUCAGGUGUUCCAAUCACUUCCAUGGCCACAGGUGUAUAAAAUUAAGCACCUAGGCAUGCAGACUGCUUCUACAAACAUUUGUGAAAGAAUGGGCCGCUCUCAGGAGCUCAGUGAAUUCCAGCGUGGUACUGUGAUAGGAUGCCACCUGUGCAACAAGUCCAGUUGUGAAAUUUCCUCGCUACUAAAUAUUCCACAGUCAACUGUCAGUGGUAUUAUAACAAAGUGGAAGCGAUUGGGAAUGACAGCAACUCAGCCACGAAGUGGUAGGCCACGUAAAAUGACAGAGUGGGGUCAGCGGAUGCUGAGGCGCAUAGUGUGCAGAGGUCGCCAACUUUCUGCAGAGUCAAUCGCUACAGACCUCCAAAGUUCAUGUGGCCUUCAGAUUAGCUCAAGAACAGUGCGUAGAGAGCUUCAUGGAAUGGGUUUCCAUGGCCGAGCAGCUGCAUCCAAGCCAUACAUCACCAAGUGCAAUGCAAAGCGUCGGAUGCAGUGGUGUAAAGCACGCCGCCACUGGACUCUAGAGCAGUGGAGAUGCGUUCUCUGGAGUGACGAAUCACGCUUCUCCAUCUGGCAAUCUGAUGGACGAGUCUGGGUUUGGCGGUUGCCAGGAGAACGGUACUUAUCUGACUGCAUUGUGCCAACUGUGAAGUUUGGUGGAGGGGGGAUUAUGGUGUGGGGUUCUUUUUCAGGAGCUGGGCUUGGCCCCUUAGUUCCAGUGAAAGGAACUCUGAAUGCUUCAGCAUACCAAGAGAUUUUGGACAUUUCCAUGCUCCCAACUUUGUGGGAACAGUUUGGGGAUGGCCCCUUCCUGUUCCAACAUGACUGCACACCAGUGCACAAAGCAAGGUCCAUAAAGACAUGGAUGAGCGAGUUUGGUGUGGAAGAACUUGACUGGCCUGCACAGAGUCCUGACCUCAACCCGAUAGAGCACCUUUGGGAUGAAUUAGAGCGAAGACUGCGAGCCAGGCCUUCUCGUCCAACAUCAGUGUCUGACCUCACAAAUGCGCUUCUGGAAGAAUGGUCAAAAAUUCCCAUAAACACACUCCUAAACCUUGUGGAAAGCCUUCCCAGAAGAGUUGAAGCUGUUAUAGCUGCGAAGGGUGGGCCGACGUCAUAUUAAACCCUAUGGAUUAAGAAUGGGAUGUCACUUAAGUUCAUAUGCGUCUAAAGGCAGGUGAGCGAAUACUUUUGGCAAUAUAGUGUAUAUUAAACAGUAGCCCAGAGUGUGAAACUAGCACCCACCACCCGCAAAAUGCGACAAGGCCAAAUGUAUUUCAUGCGUGGGUAAUUAUGCUCAUCUACCCGCAACAGGCGGGUGACCUGUAAGACGUCUCGGAGUGACACAUGACAAGAAAUGCUGUUAGUCACAAAGACACGUGCUUGAAGAAACACACUGUUAUAUUUUACGAACAGACAAAUGAAAAGCCGUUAAUACUCAUGUCUGAUUCACUGUAUAUUCAAAAAAAUUAUGGAAUCACCUUGUAAUUUACAUUUCUAAAUCAAAUACCGGCACAAGUCUAAAAACGCUAAUUAGUCUGCAGUUAAAAGAGAGUGCUUGCAAGACCUUAACGAGCUGUUGGGUUUGGCUAAUUGAAAGGAAACAUGGCCCCAACAAGACAGUUGUCAAUUGAAACAAUGGAAAGGAUUAUAAAACUCCUUCAAGUAGGAAAUCCAACAGAGAGUGUGGCAAAAGAAGUUGGUUGUUCUCAGUCAGCUUUGUCUAAAAUUUGGUGCAAGUAUAAACAAAAUGGCAAGAUUAUAAAAGGAAAACAUACGGGUAGACCAAGGAAGACGUCAAAGCGUCAGGAUAGAAAACUCAAAGCAAUAUGCCUUGAAAAUAGAAAAUGCACAACAAAACAAAUGAAAAACAAAUGGGCAGAAACAGGAGUCAAUGUUUGUGACAGAACUGUAAGAAAUCGGCUGAAUGAAAUGGGAUUUACAUAUAGAAAAGCCAAACGUAUCAUGGAGUGUGGAUGAUUGGAUGAAAGUGAUAUUCAGUGAUGAAUCACGAAUCUGCAUUAGCCAAGGCGAUGAUGCUGGAACUUUUGUCUGGUGCCGUUCUAAUGAAACAUAUAAAGAUGACUGCCUGAAGAAAACAAUCAAAUUUCCCCAGUCAUUUAUGAUUUGGGGUUGCAUGUCAGGUAAAGGACCAGGGGAGAUGGCAAUCAUUACCUCAACAGUCAAUGCACAGGUGUACAUUGAAAUUUUGGACACUUUUCUCAUUCCAUCGGUAGAAAAUAGGUUUGGUGAUGAAGUCAUUUUUCAGGAUGAUAAUGCAUCUUACCACAGAGCAAAGAGUGUUAAAGCUUUUCUCCAGGAAAGGCAUAUCAACUCAAUGACAGGGCCAGCAAACAGUCCGGAUCUCAGUUGGUCCAUGACAAGGCUCCAUCCUGCAAAACUGAUCUGUCAACCGCUAUUUGAGAAAGUUGGAACCAGCUUGAUGGAGUAUAUUGUUUUUCAUUUGUGAAGUCCAUGCCUCAAAGAAUUCAGGCCGUCAUAAAAGCCAGAGCAGGAGCAACAAAGUACUAAUUGUGAUUUUUUUAGUUGAUGAUUCCAUAAUUUUUUUCAUCGAGUGAUUCCAUAAUUUUUUCCUCUACUUGAUCUGGAAAAAAAUAUGCCAUUGAUUGUUUUGUGUCAUAUCUGUGAUUUGUUUAUUUGCUACAAAGUAAAAAUCUGGGUGAACAUCCUCUAAGUGUGGUGAUUCCAUAAUGUUUUGCCAGGGGUUGCAUGUUUAAUUUUACACUUAAACUAACUUAUUCAAUGUAGAAAAUACUUAAUAUUUUCUGCUAUAUUUACUUAACCACAAAAUCAUUUGUUUUAGUGCACACUAUUCUCAUGUUUACUUGAAAAAUGUGUAGGUCUUGUGGCUAUACCUUUGAAACGGUGUGUAUUUGAAUGUUUAUCCUGGUGCAUUGUCUUGCCCCAAAGACUUUCAUUGAAAGUGCAUUACUGUAAACAUGAAAUUUUCUUGUUAAUAGACAGCAUGUCACGGAUGCUUUUUAUAGAGCUUAAAUACAUGAUUGAGCCCAGAAUAUUCCUUUAUCUGUAAUUGCAUCACACAUGCAUUGUGUCAAACAGUUUUGGUUAAUGAUUAGCAGUGGGUAGUGAUCUAUGAGUUCUCCAGUUCACACUGCCUUGCAUAGGAAACACGUCAACAAUGCAGACCAUAUAGAAGCGUCAUUGAGUCUAACUGCUUUCUUUCUCCACCCUCUUUCCCAUCCAUUUUUUCAUUCAGUUUGUUGAAAUGUUGCUGAAGUUUGUUGCUGAAGGAGCUGCCAGUGGACUGAAUGUCAUCGCUGUCUAUGUAUCUGAGAUUCUCCGAGCUACAGGAGUGAAUGAGACAAUAUCGAUCCCUCAUUUCACCGCUGAGGGCGUGUCUGCUGU